CAAUAGCGUAUACCAAAGUUGUUGCAGUUAAAACGCUCGUAGUCGGAAUUUGGCAGUUCCGGAAGUGUGCACGUCGUGUGCGCACUUUGCGGGGACUGCUUUUGUGGUCUUGCGUAGGAUGAGGCACUUUCAUUAGUGAACGUCCUCACGCAACCACUCUUUACUGUGAGAAAAUCAGAGUGCUCAAAGCAGGCAUUUGCCGUGAAUGUAUUAGCAUGGAAUAAUAGAAUAGGACUCGGUUCUAUUUUGUUGGUUUGUUGGGACUGAGUAAUGAUUAAGAGGGACAGUUGGGGGCAUUUGUAUUCCGGCGCUAGAGGUGAAAUUCUUAGAUUGCCGGAAGACAAACUGCUGCGAAAGCGUCUGCCAAGGAUGUUUUCAUUGA
rnacentral:rRNA from 1 species